AUUGAACGCUGGCGGCAGGCUUAACACAUGCAAGUCGAGCGGGGUGAUGGUGCUUGCACUAUCACUUAGCGGCGGACGGGUGAGUAAUGCUUAGGUAUCUGCCUAUUAGUGGGGGACAACAUCUCGACAGGGAUGCUAAUACCGCAUACGUCCUACGGGAGAAAGCAGGGGAUCACUUGUGACCUUGUGCUAAUAGAUGAGCCUCAGUCGGAUUAGCUAGUUGGUGGGGUAAAGGCCUACCAAGGCGACGAUCUGUAGCGGGUCUGAGAGGAUGAUCCGGCAGGAGGGGAGCGAGACACGGCCCAGACUGCUACGGGAGGCAGCAGUGGGGAAUAUUGGACAAUGGGGGGAACCCUGAUCCAGCCAUGCCGCGUGUGUGAAGAAGGCCUUAUGGUUGUAAAGCACUUUAAGCGAGGAGGAGGCUAUUUUGGUUAAUACCCAAGAUGAGUGGACGUUACUCGCAGAAUAAGCACCGGCUAACUCUGUGCCAGCCGCCGCGGUAA
rnacentral:rRNA from 1 species